AUACGUAGGGUGCGAGCGUUGUCCGGAAUUACUGGGCGUAAAGAGCUCGUAGGUGGUUUGUCGCGUCGUCUGUGAAAUUCCGGGGCUUAACUCCGGGCGUGCAGGCGAUACGGGCAUAACUUGAGUACUGUAGGGGAGACUGGAAUUCCUGGUGUAGCGGUGAAAUGCGCAGAUAUCAGGAGGAACACCGGUGGCGAAGGCGGGUCUCUGGGCAGUAACUGACGCUGAGGAGCGAAAGCAUGGGUAGCGAACAGGAUUAGAUACCCUGGUAGUCCAUGCCGUAAACGGUGGGCGCUAGGUGUAGGGGUCUUCCACGACUUCUGUGCCGUAGCUAACGCAUUAAGCGCCCCGCCUAGGGAGUACGGCCGCAAGGCUAAAACUCAAAUGAAUUGACGGGG
rnacentral:rRNA from 1 species